GGUUCAAAAGUGAAAGACGGUCUUGCUGUCACUUAUAGAUGGAUCCGCGCUGCAUUAGCUAGUUGGUAAGGUAACGGCUUACCAAGGCAACGAUGCAUAGCCGACCUGAGAGGGUGAUCGGCCACACUGGAACUGAGACACGGUCCAGACUCCUACGGGAGGCAGCAGUAGGGAAUCUUCCGCAAUGGGCGAAAGCCUGACGGAGCAACGCCGCGUGAGUGAUGAAGGUCUUCGGAUCGUAAAACUCUGUUAUUAGGGAAGAACAUAUGUGUAAGUAACUGUGCACAUCUUGACGGUACCUAAUCAGAAAGCCACGGCUAACUACGUGCCAGCAGCCGCGGUAAUACGUAGGUGGCAAGCGUUAUCCGGAAUUAUUGGGCGUAAAGCGCGCGUAGGCGGUUUUUUAAGUCUGAUGUGAAAGCCCACGGCUCAACCGUGGAGGGUCAUUGGAAACUGGAAAACUUGAGUGCAGAAGAGGAAAGUGGAAUUCCAUGUGUAGCGGUGAAAUGCGCAGAGAUAUGGAGGAACACCAGUGGCGAAGGCGACUUUCUGGUCUGUAACUGACGCUGAUGUGCGAAAGCGUGGGGAUCAAACAGGAUUAGAUACCCUGGUAGUCCACGCCGUAAACGAUGAGUGCUAAGUGUUAGGGGGUUUCCGCCCCUUAGUGCUGCAGCUAACGCAUUAAGCACUCCGCCUGGGGAGUACGACCGCAAGGUUGAAACUCAAAGGAAUUGACGGGGACCCGCACAAGCGGUGGAGCAUGUGGUUUAAUUCGAAGCAACGCGAAGAACCUUACCAAAUCUUGACAUCCUUUGACAACUCUAGAGAUAGAGCCUUCCCCUUCGGGGGACAAAGUGACAGGUGGUGCAUGGUUGUCGUCAGCUCGUGUCGUGAGAUGUUGGGUUAAGUCCCGCAACGAGCGCAACCCUUAAGCUUAGUUGCCAUCAUUAAGUUGGGCACUCUAAGUUGACUGCCGGUGACAAACCGGAGGAAGGUGGGGAUGACGUCAAAUCAUCAUGCCCCUUAUGAUUUGGGCUACACACGUGCUACAAUGGACAAUACAAAGGGCAGCGAAACCGCGAGGUCAAGCAAAUCCCAUAAAGUUGUUCUCAGUUCGGAUUGUAGUCUGCAACUCGACUACAUGAAGCUGGAAUCGCUAGUAAUCGUAGAUCAGCAUGCUACGGUGAAUACGUUCCCGGGUCUUGUACACACCGCCCGUCACACCACGAGAGUUUGUAACACCCGAAGCCGGUGGAGUAACCUUUUAGGAGCUAGCCGUCGAAGGUGGGACAAAUGAUUGGGGUGAAGUCGUAACAAGGUAGCCGUAUCGGAAGGUGCGGCUGGAUCACCUCCUUU
rnacentral:rRNA from 1 species